CUGGUGCACGACGGGGAUACAACAUCUGGUAACACGCUGGUUACGUUAACGUGAGACCCCUUGAGCUGACCAAGCAAGCUGCCGUGUGACCUUUACAACUUAGAGGACAAUUGAGAUGCUACAAGAGUUGCCUUUCUGAAUGAAGCACACCAUCGUAAGAAUCGCUCUACCGCAGAUCGUGACAAGCGGAUCUUCUACACAGCUUCAGAAUGGGAUUGUUUCCUAGUAAUCCGGGCCACUACAUAGGUGUUUAACUACAAACAAUUUUGGCUUCAAAAAGCUGGUUUUCCGUAUUCUUCGUUGUGUAUAUUAAUGUAGUCUCACUUUUUUUUCCUCAUCCCCGCCCCCAGGUGGACUAUUCCCUGUAAAAUGGUAUGUUCCAUUUUAUAUGAAAGUUAAGUGAAUUGUGUUUACGGUUUAAAUACAUAAUGAAUAUAUAUAUGUAACCAAUAAAAAAUAAAAUUA